rnacentral:rRNA from 1 species
AGUGAACGCUGGCGGCGUGCCUAAUACAUGCAAGUCGAACGGAGUGGCGCACGGGUGAGUAAUAUAUCGCUAACCUGCCCCUUGCUGGAGGACAACAGUUAGAAAUGACUCCUAAUACUCCAUAGCAAGGGAUGGGACUAUAUCGUAUCAGCUAGUCGGUGGGGUAACGGCCUACCGAGGCGAUGACGCGUAACUGGUCUGAGAGGAUGAUCAGUCACAUUGGAACGGAGACACGGUCCAAACUCCUACGGGAGGCAGCAGUAGGGAAUAUUGCGCAAGGGGGGAAACCCUGACGCAGCAACGGCGCGUGGAGGAUGACACUUGUCGGAGCGUAAACUCCUUUUGUUAGGGAAGCGGUACCUAACGAAGAAGCACCGGCUAACUCCGUGCCAGCAGCCGCGGUAAUAC